rnacentral:rRNA from 1 species
UACGGGGGGGGGCAAGCGUUGUUCGGAAUUACUGGGCGUAAAGGGCUCGUAGGCGGCCAACUAAGUCAGACGUGAAAUCCCCUCGGCUUAACCGGGGAACUGCGUCUGAUACUGGAUGGCUUGAGGUUGGGAGAGGGAUGCGGAAUUCCAGGUGUAGCGGUGAAAUUCGUAGAUAUUAGGAAGAACACCAGUGGCGAAGGCGGCUCACUGGCCCGGUACUGACGCUGAGGCGCGAAAGCGUGGGGAGCAAACAGG